rnacentral:rRNA from 1 species
AGACGAAGGUGGCAAGCGUUAUUCGGAAUCACUGGGCAUAAAGGGCGCGUAGGCGGCCCGACAAGUUUCGUGUGAAAUCCCUCGGCUCAACCGAGGAACUGCACGAGAAACUGUCGAGCUAGAGUAUUGGAGGGGUGUGUGGAAUUCCUGGUGGAGCGGUGAAAUGCGUAGAUAUCAGGAGGAACGCCGGAGGCGAAAGCGACACACUGGACAAUAACUGACGCUGAGGCGCGAAAGCUAGGGGAGCGAACGGGAUUAGAAACCCCAGUAGUCC